UACGGAGGGUGCAAGCGUUAUCCGGAUUCACUGGGUUUAAAGGGUGCGUAGGUGGGUUGGUAAGUCAGUGGUGAAAUCUCCGAGCUUAACUUGGAAACUGCCAUUGAUACUAUUAAUCUUGAAUAUUGUGGAGGUUAGCGGAAUAUGUCAUGUAGCGGUGAAAUGCUUAGAUAUGACAUAGAACACCUAUUGCGAAGGCAGCUUACUACGCAUAUAUUGACGCUGAGGCACGAAAGCGUGGGGAUCAAACAGG
rnacentral:rRNA from 1 species